rnacentral:sRNA from 1 species
GCCAGGUGCAAUGGCUCAUGCCUGUAAUCCCAGUAACCCAGGAGACUGAGGCAGGAGGAUUGCAAGUUCAAGGCCAGCUAGGGCAAUUUAGCAAGAACCUGUCUCAA